GACGAACGCUGGCGGCGUGCUUAACACAUGCGAGUCGAACGGAAAGGCCCUGCUUUUGUGGGGUGCUCGAGUGGCGAACGGGUGAGUAACACGUGAGUAACCUGCCCUUGACUUUGGGAUAACUUCAGGAAACUGGGGCUAAUACCGGAUAGGAGCUCCUGCUGCAUGGUGGGGGUUGGAAAGUUUCGGCGGUUGGGGAUGGACUCGCGGCUUAUCAGCUUGUUGGUGGGGUAGUGGCUUACCAAGGCUUUGACGGGUAGCCGGCCUGAGAGGGUGACCGGCUGGAUGGGGGGGGGGCGCGGGCCGAGGAGCCGGGGGAGGGGAGGAGUGGGAAGUCGGGAGGGCUGGGCGGCAGGCGGAGGCGGCGGGGCGGGGGGGUGGAUGGCGGCCGCGGGGGUGUAACCUGCGUUCGCCUGUGAGGAAGGGUGAGGGACGGAAAGGGGCAAAGCAGCACCGGCUAACUACGCGCCGGCGGCGGCGCUAAUACG
rnacentral:rRNA from 1 species